ACUAUUAAUUUCUAUACCCAAGAUUUAGCCUUUUUAAUGGUGCCUAAUACGUAACCAAUAAAUUCGUUGAUGAAUUUUUUUUAAAUGAACACGUUUUCUUUAUUGCGGCUUGUGUAUUGAUGUUUAUUUUGUGGUAUUUACCCAGCGUAAACUCGCACCAGCUAUUGCGUGAUUACACAUUGCUUUCUAAACAAACUUCUUUUCCAUUUUAUUUUACGAAAUAUUAAGCGCACAUUUUGAGUUUAGGAAAAUAAAUCAUAUUAUACCUAUAUAUCUGUGCACACAUAGGAGCAUUGCAAAGAUCGAUACCAAAAAAAAAACAUGUAAACAAUUAAAUGGCACAUAGCGUGCAAAGUAUAAUUUAUAUUACUCUGUAUUUUAGUCAAAGAAGGUCAGAUCGAGAAUCAAAACGAUGUUUUCCAGAAGUUCUAAAUAAAAUUAAUAGUUACUCUUGAAAUGUUUGUAUAAAAAUGGGUCCUAAAAAAACAGUUCAAAAUCAAGUUGCGAAAAAUUCGCCACAACCAUUUUAUCGCACAAUCGGUUUUUUUGUUUAUUUGGGUCAAAUAUUCGGUUUGUUUCCUGUUCACGGUUGUCAUGGGCCUAGUGCUUCAGAUUUAAAAUUUUCGUGGACGUCCGUAGUUACCUUUUAUUGUAUUCUUAAUUCGUGCAUUACGUUAUUGUUAGGAUUGCUUUACUUUUUGGAAAAUUUUAGAGUUGGGUUUGAUUUUUGGGAUUACAUGCUUUCUGUGUGGUUUUAUGGUGUUACUGGUACCAUGAUGAUAUUGUUUUUGAAGCUUGCCUUUCAUUGGCCCUCACUAAUGAAGAAAUGGGAAUUGGUUGAUAAUUCCAUGGUUUCGUACGGAUACAUGCCAUAUUUAAAUUUUCGUUUGAAAUUACUGACUACUGUUUUGUUUGUAACGGCUUUAGUUGAAACACUUCUUUCAAAAUCAAUUCACCUAAUACAGAGUUAUAAAUGUAGACGCGAAGAAAUCGAGGGCAUUUUUGAAUAUUUGAUGACAACUGUUUUGUAUAAGCCAGUGUUCAUUUAUACGGAAUAUUCAACAUGGAAAGGUGUUUUAUUAAUGAUCUUUAAUACCACUUCAACAUUUGCGUGGUCUUAUGGAGAUGUAUUUGUUAUGAUUAUCGGAAUAGGAUUGGCCUUAAGAUUUCGGCAAAUAUCACGUCGUUUACGAUUAUUUUUGAGGGAAAAGAUAAGUGACAUAGAUCGGUGGAGGGAAAUAAGGGAGGAUUAUCAAAGAUUGGCGAUUUUAACGAAAACAGUCGAUAACGCCAUAGGAAAUAUAACAUGUUUAUGUUUUGCCAGUAAUUUGACUUUUAUUAUAAUACAAUUGUUUAACAGUUUACGAUUUCGCAAAGAUUUAAUAGACAAAUUUUACUUUUUCUUCUCUUUCGCGUUUUUGAUUGCGAGGACGUUUUGUGUAUGCCUAUAUGCAGCAUGGAUUAACGACGAAAGUAGGGAACCGAUUUAUAUUCUUGCCGACGUUUCGUCAGAAUGUUUCAACGUUGAGGUUUCAAGAUUUGUAGAUCAACUUCGAUACGAUAACAUUACGUUAUCAGGUAAAAAUUUAUUUUACGUAAAAAGAGGAUUGAUUUUGAGCAUGGCAAGUGCUGUUGUUACCUACGAAUUAAUAUUUUUACAAUUAAACGCUCACGUCCUUGAAGAAUCGAAUGAAAUUGCAAAUUUUAAUAUGUCUACCUGUUAAACAAACAAAACAAUUAGAGAAUAUCAUCGUUCCUUUGUUUUAUUUCAAAGCGGUCGCAAAUCACCACAAAUACGAAGUAUACUACAUAUAAAGUACAUAUUAUGUAUAAAUAAAUAUUUAAACAAUAAAAAAAGAUUACCUAUAUGUAUACUGCGAAUAUUUGAAAAUAAUUAUAUGUAGGUUUUAAUCUAUUAAAAAGAUAAGACAAGAGUCACAUUUUUGAUCCUUUACAAGUCACACUAAGUAGACAGUGCUAUUUU